GAUGAUCUUUGACACUCCUUAUGUUGAACGCAAUACUGGCCACGAUUGCUUCAAGCUCGCCGGAGGAAAACCGCCACCACGGUCUUGGUGCACUCAACCGUAUGAGUCACCGACAUGCAUAUGAAUGCAAUAUGAAUGAUUAAAGUGUUUGAUAAAUCACCAAGUAAACAUAGAACACUUGAUGAUUUAUCUCAAAUAUGUGCACAACAGCUUUUGCUUAAGAAUUCUAUAUGCUCAACCUAAUAUCAAAAACUGUAAAAAAAACCAAAGAGAUGCAAGCUGCUUUUAUUCAAAGCUUCCUAUACCUAGUCAGAUGGCCGCACACAAGUACCAAACCCACUUCAAUUAUAACUAUGAACUUUUAGCUUAAUUUGGACUCUUAUGAAGACCACAAUUGGUUUUCCAACAUGAAUAUUAGUUCAAUAUGGAUUCUUAUUGAAAAACGCCAACCAAUCAAUUUUUAAUAGAAAAACAAUAUCUAUUAAAACAAAAAACUCAAAUUGGGAAUUCUAUAAUGAAUGCAUGAUUAUGUCAUGAUUUACCUGAAAUUAAGUUUCUCAUAUCGGUCAAGUCAAGCCUCGGAUGUAUGGAGUUGAAUGAGUUGUUCCAAAACGUCCAGUAACAAUUCUUCACACACUAAUUUUCAACCUAUGCUAGAGUCUAGGAAAUGACAACACUAUUUUCAUACUAACAAUCUCCCCCUUUGGCAUUUCCUAGACAAAACACCUAUUACAACUCAAAAGAAAUUGCAUGGGAUUAAACAAAUGAAAUCCUACUCUAAAUUAGAAGCUUUGAAUCCCUGCACAUUAUGAAACAACAAAACCAGUGAAGCAUGUGGGAGAAGAAAUGUAAUCCAAAGCAAAAUUACAACACAACUCCUCCUUAAUUCCACAACACAAUUUCUCCCCCUUUUUAUCAUAAUUUCACACAGUCAUCUCUCCCCUUUUUUGUCAAGAAAUCCAAAGGGUAAGGAAAGAACAUAAAAGAGCUAAUAUAAAGGUAUAAAGAAAUCACCAAAUGAAUGCACAAGAAUAGCAAGAUGUCCAAAGCCAAAAAAGAAAGGGAUAACAGUAGCAUGCAUUAAGAUAUGAGAAAAAAAUUAUCACAAAAAAAAAAAAAAAAACCAAACAUAUGAGGGAUAAACACUGUGUUUGAAAAACAAAAGAAGUUUCGAAUUUAUUUUUUUUGUUUUUUGUUUUUUUUUUGUUUUUUUUUUUUUGUUUUUAAUAAAGAAAAGAUAAAGCUACAAACAAAUCUAAACAAUUAAAAAAAAACGUAAACAUCACCUAGAAAAGAUAACAACACCACAAAGACAUAGAAUCACCAAAUACUAUGCUUAAUGAGAACCCAAGACUCCUCCUUCAUUCAAGCCCAAAAAAAAUCUGGAGUACAUGCCAACACCAUGCAUAAGGAUAGACAAGCAAGACCAAUACCAAUAUCUCUCUAGAAGCAUUUGAAGCAAAGUCUUUCAGGAUCUAGGGCACAUCAAAUCACAAAGGUUUAAUCAAACACAAGGAUUAUAAAAUGGAGAAUCAAAAAUAUUUGUAAGAAAUAAAGUCCAUCAAAUGAGUAAAUAUUAAAUCCCAAUCUCGUGUUAUGUGACUAAACUUGCUUAAUAAUAAAGAAAAAAUCCAACCAAGAGCAAGCCAAGAACAUAGAAUAAACACAUACAAAAUGCAUACAGAGGGCACCAAUUUUUUUUUUUUUAAUGCUAACUUUAUUAAGCUUUCUACAAGACCCAUGUAACGGGUGUUAAAUCAAUGUGCUCAAGUCAGUUGACUUUAAGACAAUGAGUGUUAAAGCACCCCUAGGAUGUACUAACCCGAGUCAUGUAGGCUACAAAGAAGAACAAUGUGUACAAGAUCAAAGUUUAUUUGACGCGAACCUCGACGUUGGUUAGACAAGAGGCCCGGUUACUUUACCAAGAUCAAGCACUUAUUUUACUUUACUUUUAAAUAAAGAGAUGCUAUAAAUUUGAGAGCUCAGUAGCAAAAAGUAUAAUGCAAAUCUAGUAUCAAGACAAGGGCAAGGAGAGGAUCCAUUCAAAAUUAUUAAGCAAGAUUUGAGUGUAUGUGCUAUAUGUAAGGCAUGUGAUUUAAUAAAAAGAGCAUUUAAUUGACUUUAUAAAAAACAAAAACAGUUGAUAACCAUUCACAAAAACCCAACAUUAAUCAGCCCAAAGUGAUCCAACGCCAAAAAAUCCAAUCUAAGAUCAACAAAAACUUCCAGACGUCAGUAGGAUUGAUAUUGCUUAUCAAUCCCUGCAUGUGCUAAACAAAAUACUUAGAAUUUAAUCCAAAUUCAAAAACAGAGAAGAUAAUAGCUGGAGUUUUUUGGCAUGCAUACAAACAAUUAUUCAAAAGAACAAAUGCCUAAAGACUUUCUAAGAGUGUCAAAUCGAAGAUUAUCCAUAGAUUUUGCAACAAGACAUUUAAGAUCCAAAUUUUCAAAAGCAACGGGUUUAUGCACAACAUUAGUAGAAGCCAACAUACAAUAAUGAUUUUCCUUUUUUCUCCAAACUAACUUUGUCUUAGUUGACGGCAAACAAUGAAAAGAAGAUAGUUUGGAUAAACGGUUUACCUCUUUCAUAAGAUUUGAAAUCUUAUGUUGGAUGCUUACUUUUCCACCCAUGCCAUGAGAAUUUGAAUGAACAAAUUCAUUUCGAAGCUUAUUGCAUCUUGGUCUUAUGUGCCCACGAGUUCCGCAAAAGUGACAAAUUGGAAUAAAUUUUUUGACUUCAUGAGCGGCAGAAGGUUCAAUAGGUGAAGUAGAUUUGACAAACUUUGUUUUAGACACAGCGGAAGACUUAUUACUUGGUUGAAAUCCCAAGCCUCGUUUGUCACCAUCUCUUCGUCCCAUGCUAAUCAUCUUGUCAAUUUUUUCUGCACCAAUGGUUAAAGAAACAAUCCUUUCCUUUGAAUUUUUAAGUUCAAGUUCAAGGGCUUUAUUGUCAGAAGUUAGAGAAGCAAUUAAUUUAUUCUGAUCAGUCAAUUUUUUCUGCAAAAACAUCAAUUUUUUGUUCAUACCUGCACUUACCUUUUCGGAAUCUGCAUCAGGGGAUUGAAACUCGUUUGCAAUCCUGCAAUUUUCCAGCUUCAGCACAGCAACUUCUUUACAAUCAUCAUCCUCAUGUGAUUCAUCCAAGCUAACUGUGGUUAUGAGUGCAACCGUCUUUUCAUCAUUCUCGCAUUCCGAUUAACUAUCACUCCAAGUAGUAUGCAUUGCCUUAUUCUUGCCAUCCUUUUGUUUCUUUAAGGUGUUGGCACAUUCCGAAGAUAUGUGUCCAUAGCCUUCACAUUCGAAACAUUGGACCUUUUCUCUUGGAUUCUUUCGUUCAUUUGACCUGCGAAAUUUAGACCCACCAUCAGUAUAGUUAACAAACCUAUUUUUAGAAUUUAUACCUUUUGAAUCUCGACUCCUUGGAUCCUGAUUCUUGAGAAAGUUCAUGAAUCGUCUUGUGAGAAUCAUUAAUUCCUCAUCACUGCAAUCUUCAUUUGAAUGCCCAUCAUCUUCUUCAUUCACAACCUUGAAAGCAACAUUUUUGCUCUUUUUAGGAGCUAGAUGUUUCAUCUCAUAGGUUUGUAUGGACCCUAUGAGUUCUUGAACUUUCAAGGUGUUCAAGUCACGGAUCUCUUCAAUAGCCGUGAUCUUUGGUUGAAAUCGUUGAGGCAAGGAUCUCAAAAUCUUUUUCACAAUCCUGUCUUCUGGAAUUUUUUCACCUAAACUUGAACAAGCAUUCACAAUUACACACAGUUUAGCAUAAAAUUCAGAAAAAGUUUCAUUCUCAUCCAUCAUGAGUGUCUCAAACUGUAAAGUAUGCAUUUGAAGCUUGGCUCCCUUGACAGUAUCUAUUCCUUCAUGAGUAACCUGCAAAAUAUCCCAAGCUUCCUUAGAAGUAUCACAACCAGAUAUAUAUUCAAAUUGAUCUGAAGAGACAGCAGUAAAUAAAGCAUUUAACCCCUUUUGAUUAUUAGUGCUCUGUGUGACUUCUGCAGUGGUCCACUCCUCUCUAGCUUUGAGGAUUGUGGUUUCUUCAUCUCCUUUUCCGAUCUUCUUUGUGGGUUUAGGAAAUCCAUGAACCACUGUACUCCAUACACGUUCAUCUAAGGACCAAAGAAACGACUUCAUUUUGGCCUUCCAAGCGCCAUAGUUGUUGCCAUCAAAAUAUGGUGGAUGUGCAAUUGAGCCCGAUGCACGAUCCAUCCUAAGGUAUAUUAGAUCUUACUGAGUAUGUCCAGCAACCUGCUCUGAUGCCAAUUGAGAAUACCUGUAGGAUAUCUAUAUAUGCCUGGAGAAGGUUAAACAAGCUAAUUCGAAUUUUUUGCAAUAAAUAAUGAUCAACCUUUGAAGCAAGAUUGAUAUUAGUUAUCAAUCCUGAGAUGUGCAAAGCUUAAAAUAAAAGAACACGGAGAGAAUUAUUUUACGUGGUAAAACCCCACCUCUGGGGAAAAUCCACGGGACUCCUCAGUCCAACUCAAAUCCACUGUAGAACGAUGAUUACAAGAAGUACUUACACACUUAUCCUAGACUCAUUCUAGAUAAUGUUUACCGACUUCUUCGUAACUCAACUUCUGUCACGGGAUGAUCUUUGACACUCCUUAUGUUGAACGCAAUACUGGCCACGAUUGCUUCAAGCUCGCCGGAGGAAAACCGCCACCACGGUCUUGGUGCACUCAACCGUAUGAGUCACCGACAUGCAUAUGAAUGCAAUAUGAAUGAUUAAAGUGUUUGAUAAAUCACCAAGUAAACAUAGAACACUUGAUGAUUUAUCUCAAAUAUGUGCACAACAGCUUUUGCUUAAGAAUUCUAUAUGCUCAACCUAAUAUCAAAAACUGUAAAAAAACCAAAGAGAUGCAAGCUGCUUUUAUUCAAAGCUUCCUAUACCUAGUCAGAUGGCCGCACACAAGUACCAAACCC
rnacentral:lncRNA from 1 species